GCAUAGCUCCGUUGGUAGAGCAUGAGACUCUUAGGCUCAGUGUCGUGAGUUCAACUCCCACAUUGGCCA